rnacentral:rRNA from 1 species
CCUACGGGAGGCUGCAGUGAGGAAUAUUGGUCAAUGGGCGAGAGCCUGAACCAGCCAAGCAGCGUGAAGGAUGACUGCCCUAUGGGUUGUAAACUUCUUUUAUCUGGGAAUAAACUCCGGCACGUGUGCCAUUUUGUAUGUACCCUAUGAAUAAGGAUCGGCUAACUCCGUGCCAGCAGCCGCGGUAAUACGGAGGAUCCGAGCGUUAUCCGGAUUUAUUGGGUUUAAAGGGUGCGUAGGUGGGUUGUUAAGUCAGUUGUGAAAUUUUGGGGCUCAACCCUAAAAUGGCAGUUGAUACUGGCAGACUUGAGUACAGUAGAGGUAGGCGGAAGUCGUGGUGUAGCGGUGAAAUGCUUAGAUAUCGCGAAGAACUCCGAUUGCGAAGGCAGCUUACUGGACUGAAACUGACACUGAGGCACGAAAGUGUGGGUAGCAAACAGGAUUAGAUACCCCUGUAGUC